AACUUCGUCAGAGUAUGUCGAUGUGGGA
rnacentral:sRNA from 1 species